rnacentral:rRNA from 1 species
UACAGAGGUCCCGAGCGUUGUUCGGAUUCACUGGGCGUAAAGGGUGCGUAGGUGGCAUGGAAAGUUUGAUGUGAAAGCUCAGGGCCUAACCCUGAAGUGGCAUUGAAUACUGCCGUGCUGGAGGUUUGGAGGGGGGACUGGAAUUCUUGGUGUAGCAGUGAAAUGCGUAGAUAUCAAGAGGAACACCAGUGGCGAAGGCGAGUCCCUGGACAACACCUGACACUGAGGCACGAAAGCUAGGGGAGCAAACAGG